rnacentral:rRNA from 1 species
UACAGAGGGUGCGAGCGUUGUCCGGAAUCACUGGGCGUAAAGGGCGCGUAGGUGGCGGGAUAAGCGUGUGGUGAAAGCCCGGGGCUCAACCCCGUGUCCGCCAUGCGGACUGUCUUGCUCGAGCGUAGUAGAGGCAGGUGGAAUUCCGGGUGUAGCGGUGGAAUGCGUAGAGAUCCGGAAGAACACCGGUGGCGAAGGCGGCCUGCUGGGCUACUGCUGACACUGAGACGCGACAGCGUGGGGAGCAAACAGG